UACGUAGGGGGCAAGCGUUGUUCGGAAUUACUGGGCGUAAAGGGCGCGUAGGCGGCACGGCAAGUCAGGAGUGAAAGCCCUGGGCUCAACCCGGGAACUGCUUUUGAAACUGCCGAGCUAGAGUGCGGAAGGGGCAACUGGAAUUCCCAGUGUAGCGGUGAAAUGCGUAGAUAUUGGGAAGAACACCUGAGGCGAAGGCGGGUUGCUGGGCCGACACUGACGCUGAGGCGCGAAAGCCAGGGGAGCGAACGGG
rnacentral:rRNA from 2 species